rnacentral:rRNA from 1 species
GAUGAACGCUGGCGGCGUGCCUAACACAUGCAAGUCGAACGAAGCACCUUACCUGAUUCUUCGGAUGAAAGUUUGGUGACUGAGUGGCGGACGGGUGAGUAACGCGUGGGUAACCUGCCCUGUACAGGGGGAUAACAGCUGGAAACGGCUGCUAAUACCGCAUAAGCGCACGAGGAGACAUCUCCUUGUGUGAAAAACUCCGGUGGUACAGGAUGGGCCCGCGUCUGAUUAGCUGGUUGGCAGGGUAACGGCCUACCAAGGCAACGAUCAGUAGCCGGUCUGAGAGGAUGAACGGCCACAUUGGAACUGAGACACGGUCCCAACUCCUACGGGGGGCAGCAGUGGGGAAUAUUGCACAAUGGGGGAAACCCUGAUGCAGCAACGCCGCGUGAGUGAAGAAGUAUUUCGGUAUGUAAAGCUCUAUCAGCAGGGAAGAUAAUGACGGUACCUGACUAAGAAGCUCCGGCUAAAUACGUG